UACGUAGGGAGCAAGCGUUGUUCGGAUUUACUGGGCGUAAAGGGCGCGUAGGCGGCAAAUCAAGUCAGCUGUGAAAACCCGAGGCUCAACCUCGGGCCUGCAGUGGGUACGGGCAGACUAGAGUGCGGUAGGGGAGAUUGGAAUUCCUGGUGUAGCGGUGGAAUGCGCAGAUAUCAGGAGGAACACCAAUGGCGAAGGCAGAUCUCUGGGCCGUAACUGACGCUGAGGAGCGAAAGCAUGGGGAGCGAACAGG
rnacentral:rRNA from 1 species